rnacentral:lncRNA from 1 species
CUAGCCUAGCUUGAAUAUUUCUUUAUAAAAGCAAAGAUUUUCUACCUCCUGUAAGCUGGUUACGCUUAACGCCCACUUACUUAAAGACUCGUUGGUUCACGACUCUAUAAAUGAAAAUAAGAAUUGGAGUCGUUACCUACAGAAGCAGUUGCCCUUCUCCGGAUUUACCCGGUGAGGGUGGCGCUUGUGAGUCAAAGUUGAGACUUUCAAUGUAUGUUUGGCAUCCUGGGAGAGUAGUCCUAGGUACUGAAGUGACUCCCGGGUAGAGAAAUAAAGUGCUGGCAGAAAGGAACUCUCAAAGCAUGGGGUUUCGCCGGGCGAAGCUCCUAUCCCCCAAGGCUGUUGUCGGCAUUUCCGUUCUUUGCAUGUUAGCACUUUUACCUGACCCUUCGUCACUACUUUCUGAUCAUGUGGAUGCCGCUCUUAGAGAAUCCGCGAAAGGACACUGUGAGGGGGAUGGGUCCUAGCUACUUCUUUCAUACCAAGAAAGAUAAGAAGGGAUGCUUGCUAUCAUUCCAGUGCCACUGUCCAAUCUGUGAGUCCAUAUUAUGGAAUAUAAUUCCCAAGCAAAGGAUUAGAAGGUAAGGUGCCAAGUUAAAGGCAAAGCUUAGUCGGAUUUUUCCCCUACCCCUAGGUUAACUACCUUUAGCUUUCGAUAAGACAGUUCAAGCAGAAGACUAACUUGAGGAUGUCACGUGGAAGCUUUCCUAAAUCCAUUUGACCGGAGCCGGGAUAAAAACUACUUAUAUAUGUAAGGAUAUACCACCAAACCUGUGAGCCUUCCCAAAUUCAACAGAUUCCACUAUAGCAAACUCUUCAGAUCAGGAAUCGCCUUUCUUUUCUAUUUUCUUUCACGCCCUGAGCCUGAGCUAACUCAUUUAUCUUUCGGUCUAGUCCAGUUCGGCGUAGCUCCAAGCGAAAACAUAAAAGAAUUCUCUGAGUAGAUCCAUGUACUGUCAAAUCUCUUUCAUUUGAGAAGCUUGCACUUAGGAAUACAGGGCGAGGAUUGUCAACAGUCCCGAGAUCCAUUUACUUGACCUCGUCCUCUUUAGGGGGCGCAGGCUCUACAUCCUAUUCUUGAACUGACUCUCGUCUCUUUGCUCUUUGUUUUACGUUUAUAGACAAUUGGUUGGAAGAGAUCUGAAAGAAAGAUCUCCAGAACUUUCGGCGUCAGACAAAGUUUUCGGCGCAGGGAGCGGAGUUGGCAGGUAGCCCAAGCCUAUGUUUUUUGAGAUCGACGUACUGGCCGGCUAGCCAAGCUUCCCUUUCUUCUUCACUUAGAUGCGGCUCGAGGGG